rnacentral:rRNA from 1 species
CCUACGGGGGGCAGCAGUAGGGAAUAUUGCUCAAUGGGGGAAACCCUGAAGCAGCAACGCCGCGUGGAGGAUGAAGGUCUUCGGAUUGUAAACUCCUUUUGUUAGAGAAGAUAAUGACGGUAUCUAACGAAUAAGCACCGGCUAACUCCGUGCCAGCAGCCGCGGUAAUACGGAGGGUGCAAGCGUUACUCGGAAUCACUGGGCGUAAAGAGCGCGUAGGCGGGAUAGCAAGUCAGAUGUGAAAUCCUAUGGCUUAACCAUAGAACUGCAUUUGAAACUGGUAUUCUAGAGUAUGGGAGAGGUAGGUGGAAUUCUUGGUGUAGGGGUAAAAUGCGUAGAGAUCAAGAGGAAUACUCAUUGCGAAGGCGACCUGCUAGAACAUAACUGACGCUGAUGCGCGAAAGCGUGGGGAGCAAACAGGAUUAGAUACCCUAGUAGUC